rnacentral:lncRNA from 1 species
UGGGCUACUGCAGAACUGAUGGUGACAUGUACCAGCUCUCCCUGGAGAAGUGCACGUUCCCGGGCUGCCAUCCCAGCCCUGCGUGCCCCCUGUGCUAUACCUGCCACACCGAUGCCCUCCAGCUCCCUGUCACCAGCUCUCCCCGCUCCCAGGACUGGGGCCCGGUGGGUGUCCCUGGCCGUGGGAGCAGCCCCUCGGGGUUUCGGCUGGCGGAGGGACGUGUCUUGGGAAGGCAGCGCCAGCGCUGGGAUGUGGGACAUUUGCAUGGCACGGAGGUGGGUCGCUGGUUGUGCUGAGCGUGGCUCUGAUGCUCGCUCCUGCCCGUGGGCUGUCUGUCACAGGGUCCUGUUUAACCUUCUUUGCCACAAUAUCUCGCAGCCUUUAAUCUGUUUAUCCUCGUAACCCUGCGAUGAGGUAAAGGAGAGCUAUCCUCAUUUCAGAGGUAGGGAACUGAAGGGAGCCUUUUCAAAUGCAAAUCAGUGUUUAGUGAUGCAGAGAUAAAGAUUUAAAAAACACGCCUGAGACAACAGGCUGUAACCGAGCUGGCUGCUUCUGCAAAUCCCAUUAAGCGCCUCUGCCUUUUCCAGCUUUUGCUGUCCCAGGGCAGUGCUGGCAGAGGGGCGGGGGUGUGUUGUGCCAGGCAGGGAGAUACCGGGAGAUGCCAGGUGUGGAGGUGCAGAAGCAGAGGUCCGGCUUCACUGGGUGCACCAGAGUGCCAGGUGGCGCACAGCCCUCGUGCAAAGCCCACUCUGAACUGCACAAGUGCAUGAGAUACUCC